GGUGAACGCUGGCGGCGUGCCUAAGACAUGCAAGUCGAGCGGGCCGCGGGGUUUUACUCCGUGGUCAGCGGCGGACGGGUGAGUAACGCGUGGGUGACCUACCCGGAAGAGGGGGACAACCCGGGGAAACUCGGGCUAAUCCCCCAUGUGGACCCGCCCCUUGGGGUGUGUCCAAAGGGCUUUGCCCGCUUCCGGAUGGGCUCGCGUCCCAUCAGCUAGUUGGUGGGGUAAUGGCCCACCAAGGCGACGACGGGUAGCCGGCCUGAGAGGGUGGCCGGCCAGAGGGGCACUGAGACACGGGCCCCAGGCCUACGGGAGGCAGCAGUUAGGAAGCUUACGCAAUGGGCGCAAGCCUGACGGAGCGACGACGCUUGGAGGAAGAAGCCCUUCGGGGUGUAAACUCCUGAACGCGGGACGAAACCCACGACGAGGGGACGGACGGUACAGGGGUAAUAGCGCCGGCCAACUCCGUG
rnacentral:rRNA from 1 species